rnacentral:rRNA from 1 species
GACGCAUCACUGGUGUUCGGGUUGUCAUGCCAAUGGCACUGCCCGGUAGCUAAAUGCGGAAGAGAUAAGUGCUGAAAGCAUCUAAGCACGAAACUUGCCCCGAGAUGAGUUCUCCCUGAGACUUUAGGUCUCCUGAAGGAACGUUGAAGACGACGACGUUGAUAGGCCGGGUGUGUAAGCGCAGCGAUGCGUUGAGCUAACCGGUACUAAUGAACCGUGAGGCUUAACCUUACAACGCCGAAGCUGUU